AGUGAACGCUGGCGGUAGGCCUAACACAUGCAAGUCGAACGGCAGCACAGUAAGAGCUUGCUCUUACGGGUGGCGAGUGGCGGACGGGUGAGGAAUACAUCGGAAUCUACUUUUUCGUGGGGGAUAACGUAGGGAAACUUACGCUAAUACCGCAUACGACCUACGGGUGAAAGCAGGGGAUCUUCGGACCUUGCGCGAUUGAAUGAGCCGAUGUCGGAUUAGCUAGUUGGCGGGGUAAAGGCCCACCAAGGCGACGAUCCGUAGCUGGUCUGACAGGAUGAUCGGCCACACUGGAACUGAGACACGGUCCAGCCUCCAACGGGAGGCAGCGGUGGGGAAUAUUGGACAAUGGGCGCAAGCCUGAUCCAGCCAUACCGCGUGGGUGAAGAAGGCCUUCGGGUUGUAAAGCCCUUUUGUUGGGAAAGAAAAGCAGCAGGUUAAUACCCCGCUGUUCUGACGGUACCCAAAGAAUAAGCACCGGCUAACUUCGU
rnacentral:rRNA from 1 species